GACGAACGCUGGCGGUGUGCUUAACACAUGCAAGUCGAACGGUAAGGCCCUUUCGGGGGUACACGAGUGGCGAACGGGUGAGUAACACGUGAGUAACCUGCCCUCAUCUCUGGGAUAACAGUCGGAAACGGUUGCUAAUACUGGAUAUGAGCUUGCAAGGCAUCUUGUGGGUUGGAAAGAUUUUUUUUGGUUGGGGAUGGACUCGCGGCCUAUCAGCUUGUUGGUGAGGUAGUGGCUCACCAAGGCUUCGACGGGUAGCCGGCCUGAGAGGGCGACCGGCCACAUUGGGACUGAGAUACGGCCCAAACUCCUACGGGAGGCAGCAGUGGGGAAUAUUGCGCAAUGGACGGAAGUCUGAUGCAGCAACGCCGCGUGCGGGAUGACGGCCUUCGGGUUGUAAACCGCUUUCAAUUGUGACGAAGCUUUUUUGUGACGGUAGCAGUAGAAGAAGCACCGGCUAACUACGUG
rnacentral:rRNA from 1 species